GUUCACUUUGGCAGCCCAAGUACUAAAAUUGGAAUGACAGAGAAGAUUAACAUGGCUUUGUGCAAGGAUUACAUGCAAUUUCAUGACAUGAUAUAUAUAUAU